rnacentral:rRNA from 1 species
AUUGAACGCUGGCGGCAGGCUUAACACAUGCAAGUCGAGCGGGGGAAGGUAGCUUGCUACCGGACCUAGCGGCGGACGGGUGAGUAAUGCUUAGGAAUCUGCCUAUUAGUGGGGGACAACAUCUCGAAAGGGAUGCUAAUACCGCAUACGUCCUACGGGAGAAAGCAGGGGAUCUUCGGACCUUGCGCUAAUAGAUGAGCCUAAGUCGGAUUAGCUAGUUGGUGGGGUAAAGGCCUACCAAGGCGACGAUCUGUAGCGGGUCUGAGAGGAUGAUCCGCCACACUGGGACUGAGACACGGCCCAGACUCCUACGGGAGGCAGCAGUGGGGAAUAUUGGACAAUGGGGGGAACCCUGAUCCAGCCAUGCCGCGUGCGUGAAGAAGGCCUUAUGGUUGUAAAGCACUUUAAGCGAGGAGGAGGCUACUUUAGUUAAUACCGAGAGAUAGUGGACGUUACUCGCAGAAUAAGCACCGGCUAACUCUGUG